AACGAACGCUGGCGGCAGGCCUAACACAUGCAAGUCGAACGAUGUAGCAAUACAUAGUGGCGCACGGGUGAGUAACGCGUGGGAAUGUACCUUUUAGUGGGGGAUAACUCCGGGAAACUGGAGCUAAUACCGCAUACGCCCUUCGGGGGAAAGAUUUAUCGCUAAAAGAUCAGCCCGCGUGAGAUUAGGUAGUUGGUGGGGUAAUGGCCUACCAAGCCUACGAUCUCUAGCUGGUCUCAGAGGAUGAUCAGCCACACUGGAACUGAGACACGGUCCAGACUCCUGCGGGAGGCAGCAGUGGGGAAUAUUGGGCAAUGGGCGCAAGCCUGACCCAGCCAUGCCGCGUGAGUGAUGGAGGCUCUAGGGUUGUAAAGCUCUUUCGCCGAUGAAGAUAAUGACGGUAGUCGGAGAAGAAGCCCCGGCUAACUUCGUGCCAGCCGCCGCCGUAA
rnacentral:rRNA from 1 species